UGGGGAAUUUUGGACAAUGGGCGAAAGCCUGAUCCAGCAAUGCCGCGUGUGUGAAGAAGGCCUUCGGGUUGUAAAGCACUUUUGUCCGGAAAGAAAUCCUUGGCUCUAAUACAGUCGGGGGAUGACGGUACCGGAAGAAUAAGCACCGGCUAACUACGUGCCAGCAGCCGCGGUAAUACGUAGGGUGCAAGCGUUAAUCGGAAUUACUGGGCGUAAAGCGUGCGCAGGCGGUUUGCUAAGACCGAUGUGAAAUCCCCGGGCUCAACCUGGGAACUGCAUUGGUGACUGGCAGGCUAGAGUAUGGCAGAGGGGGGUAGAAUUCCACGUGUAGCAGUGAAAUGCGUAGAGAUGUGGAGGAAUACCGAUGGCGAAGGCAGCCCCCUGGGCCAAUACUGACGCUCAUGCACGAAAGCGUGGGGAGCAAACAGGAUUAGAUACCCUGGUAGUCCACGCCCUAAAACGAUGUCAACUAGUUGUUGGGGAUUCGUUUCCUUAGUAACGUAGCUAACGCGUGAAGUUGACCGCCUGGGGAGUACGGUCGCAAGAUUAAAACUCAAAGGAAUUGACGGGGUCAUAGCUGUUUCCU
rnacentral:rRNA from 1 species